rnacentral:rRNA from 1 species
ACUGGGGAUAAUACUGGAUAUUAGGCUAUGCCUGGAAUGGUUUGCCUUUGAAAUGUUUUUUUCGCCUAAGGAUAGGUCUGCGGCUGAUUAGGUCGUUGGUGGGGUAAUGGCCCACCAAGCCGAUGAUCGGUACGGGUUGUGAGAGCAAGGGCCCGGAGAUGGAACCUGAGACAAGGUUCCAGACCCUACGGGGUGCAGCAGGCGCGAAACCUCCGCAAUGUACGAAAGUGCGACGGGGGGAUCCCAAGUGUUAUGCUUUUUUGUAUGACUUUUCAUUAGUGUAAAAAGCUUUUAGAAUAAGAGCUGGGCAAGACCGGUGCCAGCCGCCGCGGUAACACCGGCAGCUCGAGUGGUAGCUGUUUUUAUUGGGCCUAAAGCGUUCGUAGCCGGUUUGAUAAGUCUUUGGUGAAAGCUUGUAGCUUAACUAUAAGAAUUGCUGGAGAUACUAUUAGACUUGAAGUCGGGAGAGGUUAGAGGUACUACCGGGGUAGGGGUGAAAUCCUAUAAUCCUGGGAGGACCACCUGUGGCGAAGGCGUCUAACUGGAACGAUCUUGACGGUGAGUAACGAAAGCCAGGGGCGCGAACCGGAUUAGAUACCCGGGUAGUCCUGGCCGUAAACGAUGUGGACUUGGUGUUGGAAUGGCUUUGAGUUGUUCCGGCGCCGAAGGGAAGCUGUUAAGUCCACCGCCUGGGAAGUACGGUCGCAAGACUGAAACUUAA